AAUUUGAAUAUGGAUGUUGGUUAUUACUUGAAUACCUUGACUAAGAAAACAAAUUGAUUUUUAAAAAAAAUUAGGUAAAUUAAAAAUAUAUAUAAAUGGAUUUUUUUUUCAAAAGGGAUUUUUAUGUAAGAGAUCAAAGAAAAGAAUUAGGAUGGUAUAACAAAUGAUAAACAAUAAAGAAGAAAAAAAAUUAUGAAAAGAAUUUUACAAUAGUUUAUAGAUAUUAUAUAGGAUGAUUUGGACUUAUUUUUGCUAAACUUAAAGAAUAAUAUUGAUGGAAAAAUAUAUAUGAAGAUUUAUUUUUAUUUAUAGAAUUAUAUAAAACUUAUCAAAUGUAUUCUAAUAUAUAACAUAAAAAUAGGUUAUAUCUAAUAUAUUAUUUGAUUAUUUAUUUUAAAUAAGUUAUUUAUUUAAUUAUUAUGCCAAUUCAAUUAUAAAAAAUGAAAUAUUUGGUCUUGGCUUAUAAGAAUAUAUCAAAUAAAGUAGAAGGUAAAAUAUUAAAAAUCAAAUUUAUAUAAGAAAUUUGUAGAUUUUUGCUUGAAUAUGUUAUUUGCCACUAUAGAUGUGUGAAAAAAGUCACCUCAAAUUAUGGAGAAUUAAAUGCACGAGAAGCUCUUAAUUUCUUUAAAAGAUGCGAAAUUAAUUUAUCAUUGAUUAGUGCUUAUAAUUAAGAAGAAAAUACUAAAAAUAAAUAUGAUCAUCAAUUUAUUAUAAAAAUAUUAAUUAAAGAUUAUAAAAAGAAUAUCAAAGAAUGGAUUUAAUUUUUUCUAUUUGUAUUGUAGGUUGAUGAAAUAAUUCAUAGUUUAGUAAUAGAACAUAUGCCUGUUAAAUUCAUGACACGUCAAAAUCUAUUGUGAUAAUUUUAAAGAAAGUACCAACUUUGAGUGUGUUAUCAUAGGAAGAUGGAUUGAUAACAAAAGAACAACUAAGAUUCAAGAACUUGAGCAAAGUUUGGAAGAUAUGCAAAUAGCACUAAAUAAGUUUAAAAUAAUAAGAUUAUAAUAGAAGGCAUAAUUUGAUAAACAACAUUCAUUAAGAAUUAAGAAAAUUAAAAAAAGUGAUUAAAUUUGGUCUAUAAUAGUAGCUUAGAUAAUCAACAUAAUAUUUUAAGAAAGUUUUAAAAAUGUUAGUAUAGACCAUAUAUACAAAUAAGUGUUCAUAAUAAUGUAAUCUAUUCAUUGUGAGAGCUAGAUAGAACAAGGUUGAAAAUAUCAAUUGUUUGAAAGCAAAUAAAGAUAUUUAAAUAAAGACAUAUAAAAAUAAAUAUAAAAGACUUAAUUGAAGAUAUAAAACUUUUAAGAUAAGAAGAUAAUUCUAACUUGAAUAGCAAAAAAAUGAAGAAAAUUUGAAUGAAGUCAUAGAAAGAAUAGUGUAAAUUAAACAAGAUUUGGAUUAUUUGGCAUUGUUAGGGACAUAGACCUUAGACCUUUCUAGAGACAAGUUUCUAGAACCUUCUAGAAAGAAGUCUCUAGAAACUUCCAGAAGAUUCCUUGAAUAUUCUCUUAGAAUAUUCUUUAAAGAUUCCCUAAAGAUUCUUUGAAGAUUCUCUUAGAAGGCUCUAGAAGAUUCUUAGAAUAUUCUAGUAGAUUCUAGGAAGUUACUUGAGAAGCUUCCUAGCUCUUGGGUAGUUGUUCGAGAAGCUUCAUAGUUCUUGGGAAGCUUCUUGAUGCGCUUCCUUAGAACCAUAGGCCAGUAGUAUAUAUAGGAGUCGAGGCUGAAGAGUUCUUCAGUCUCGACAACACAUCUCUUGAAGCUCUAGCUCAAUUCUCUUGGCGUUGCUCUUGUACUCAUCUGAUAAUCUAAUUCUUGUCAUUUCUUCUUGAACUUCUUGUUUAGAUUUCUUGUUUGUAUUUUUGGUCCGUGACAGUUUGUCGAGACUACCUUUAUCUUAAUAUCAGAGCUGAAUCCUUCUUGUUUGAGAGCGGAUUACCCCUCUUCUUGAAGAUAUUCUAGCGCUUUAGGGGUUGCGGAUUACCUUCCUCUAAACUGAUAUUUUCUCAAUCACAAUAUCAGAGCUUAGUUCUUUGAAGCAGAGAGUGGACUACCCCUUUCCUUGGAGAUACUUGAGCGUUCUAAGGGUUGCGGAUUACCCUCUCUUGGACUGAUAUUAAUUCCUUCUUUUUGUUUAACAUAGCUAGUAAAAAAGAUUGUUAACAUCGAUUUCAGAGCUUUGCCUUCUUGAUAGAGUGCGGAUUACCCCUCUUCUCGAAAGCAUUGAGGCAUUUUUAGAGGUUGCGGAUUACCCUCCUCUAAAACUGAAAUCGUUUAGUAUUUUUUUUCUUUUCUCCGAGUAGGUUUUAGUGACAGGUAGUGCUACAAUUUUCUCCAAGAGACUUAGCAAUUUCUUCUUCUCUCAAAAUUUUAAUCCAUCUAUUCUCUAAAUAUGGAAGUAGACUAGGUCAUAGACAGUGCAUCUCCACAAGUAGACAAUAGAGUGGCAACUCUUGCAGAUCUUCAAGCUCUUAUGAAUAGUGUACGAAAGGAGAUUGCAUUUCUUCGCAAUCCAAGUAAAGAACCUCAAAUUGAUCUAGUGACCGAAGAAGCUAGACGCAAAAUUCAUAGCCUACAACAAGAGAUUAUUCGACUGAGAGAAGCAAGACAUGUGUCACAUACGACCCCUAUGGAUACUUCAAGGAUUAGUACGAAAGAACCAAAAGCGAGUAUGCCAGACAAGUUUGACGGAACAAGAGCCAACUUCCGAGGUUUUGUGCAACAAGUACAGCUUUACCUACGCCUAUACCCUUCUCGUUAUCCGAAUGGAUUUACCCAGGUUGCUUUCAUAGGUACUCUUCUAUCAAGAAAUGCUCGCUCUUUGUUUGCUCCACUAUUGGAGAAGGAUUCUCCAAUAUUGUACGACCUAGAGGCUUUCAUAGAGAGACUUACUGCUGCGUUUGGAGAUAGCGAUCGAGAAAGAGUGGCUGAAAGAAAGAUACAAAAUCUACGACAAAGAUCACGUUCUGUUGCAAUCUAUGCUGCAAAAUUUCAACAGCUUACAUGUCAUCUUGAUUAGAAUGAUAAGGCGUUCAUGACACGAUUUUGAUAUGGACUGAGAGAUGAUGUCAAGAACUUAUUGAUCACCAUGCCUAAAGCGGAUACUUUAGAAGAACUUAUAUCUCAGGCAAUUAUUUGUGACAACUGCCUCUUUGAAUUACGACAAGAAAGACGAUCAAGCUGGAGAAAUGAUGGAGCAUUUGCUACAUUUUCAAAAGGUCUAGAGAAUCACUCUAUAGAUCCUGAACCCAUGCAAAUUGAUGCGGUACGUUUCAAACCCCUCACAGCUGAGGAAAGGAAGCGACGGUUUGAACAAAACUUGUGUUUAUAUUGUGGAGAAGCGGGCCAUAAAGUUGUAGAUUGUCGGAAGAAACAAAAGCCUCAAACAACAAGACUCAGGAGUACAAGCAUGCAGGAAAACAAAGACGCCCAGCCACAAUAGGGACCGUGCGGCUGGACAUCUCAACAUCCAAAAUUAAUCAAGGUCCCUUUCUCUCAGCUCAACCUUCAGAUUGUUUUAUGGUACUUUUACAUCUGGGUAUUCAAGAACUACAAGUCGAUGCUUUAUUAGACUCGGGUGCAUCCGCUUGCUUUAUAGAUGAAGAGUUUGCCAAGCUUCACAAUAUUUCUCUUGUAAAGAAACUUAAGCCUGUGCAUGUAGAAGUCAUAGACGGACGACCAUUGUCUUCGGGCAAUGUUAUCCAUGAAACUAAACCAUUGAAGGUACAUCUUGAAAACCAUGAGAGCAAUAUUGUGUUUAAUGUUAUCAAGACCCCUUCAUGUCCUAUCAUUUUGGGACUAUCUUGGUUUGAUAGAUAUAAUCCAUUGAUAGAUUGGAAGUUGAAGAAAGUGACAUUUCCAACAAACUCCUUGAAGGUGGAAUCUGCUAAGACAAUGUCUAGAAACAAAUCCUUGUUUAUAGGUGCAAGGGCUUUCAUGAAGGAAGCCAAGCAAAAUACUCCUCUUGUCAUCUUCGCAACUCCUACUCGAGAAGAUGCAACUCCGACUUUGGUUAUUCUAAAGCAGUAUGAAGAAUUCAAAGAUGUCUUUGAAAAGAAGAAUGCUGAUAUGCUGCCAGAGCAUCGACCCUAUGACUGUGCCAUUGAAUUGCAAGAAGGAGCACAACCACCUUUUGGACCAAUCUACAAUUUGUCGCAGAUGGAGUUGACUGAGUUGCGGAAGUACAUUGAUGAGAAUCUAGCCAAGAACUUCAUCCGUCAUUUGAAGUCGCCAGUUGGGGCACCAAUCUUAUUUGUGAAGAAGAAGGAUGGCUCACUACGGAUGUGCGUGGACUAUCGAGGUCUCAACAAGGUCACAAAAAAGAAUCGCUACCCACUGCCUUUGAUCUCUGGUCUUUUAGAACAACUUGGGCGUGCAAGGAUCUUUACAAAGAUUGACCUAAGGGGAGCUUACAACCUUGUGCGAAUUAAGGAAGGAGAUGAAUGGAAGAGAGCGUUCCGAACAAGGUAUGGCCAUUUUGAAUACAAUGUCAUGCCAUUUGGUCUUACUAAUGCUCCAGCGGUCUUUCAACACAUGAUGAAUGACAUCUUUCGAGAGCAUCUAGACGAUUUUGUUGUCAUCUAUCUAGAUGAUAUUUUGAUAUUUUCUAAGAACGAGGAAGAACAUGAGAAGCACGUUCGUCUGGUACUCAAAAAACUACGGGAGUGAGGACUCUAUGCCAAAUUAGAGAAGUGCUUAUUUCACCAAACUGAGAUGGAAUUUUUGGGAUUCAUCGCGACUACGGAAGGCUUGAAGAUGGAUCCAAAGAAGGUGGAAGCAAUCAUGUCUUGGGAAGUUCCGAAGACGGUUAGGAACGUACAAUGUUUUCUUGGAUUUGCUAACUACUAUCGGAUCUUUAUCAAGAAUUAUUCUCAAGUUGUUGCCCCCUUCACUCGGUUAACGUGUAAGCACAAGCUCGAAUGGGGACCUAUCGCAGAAAAAGCAUUUCAAGAUUUGAAGAUGGUAUUUACUACAGCUCCAAUCUUGGUACAUCAGGACUUUACAAAAGCCUUUUAUUUGGAGACAAAUGUUUCGGAUUUUGCUUUGGAAGCUGUACUUUCACAGAUGGGCGUAGAUGAGAAGCUCCAUCCAGUUGCGUUCUAUUCUCGAAAAUUCUCUGCUGCUGAGAUCCACGAUAAGGAACUCCUUGCUAUAGUAGAUUCUUUCCAAGAGUGGCGCCACUUUCUCGAAGGAACUGCACAUCCAGUGACCGUAUAUACGGAUCACAAGAAUUUGGAGUAUUUUAUGUCGGCUCGGGUUUUGAAUCGGCGUCAAGCUCGGUGGAGUAUGUCGCUAUCCAGGUUCGACUUUGUUAUUACUUAUCGGCCUGGGAAGCAACAAGGGUUGUCCGAUGCAUUAUCAAGGAGAUCAUAUCUCGCGCCAAAGGCUGGAGAUGCAGCAUUUGAUCAACAGUGCACGACAUUGUUGAAGCCAGAGAAAUUUCGGCUCAACGCAGCUAUUGUACCAAUUGAUGCUGACUUCCUCGACCAGGUACGGGCCGCAACCAUUGAAGAUUCUCUAGCCCUUGAUAUCAAACAACAUACUAGUGAUGAUAAAUUCAAGAUGGAAGGAGUUCUAGUAUAUUUCGAAGAGCGGUUGUAUAUCCCAAAAGGGCCAACACGACUCCGAGUUCUUCAAUCUCGUCAUGACUUUCCAGCUGUGGGACAUUUUGGAUUCAAUAAGACCUUGGAACUUAUUUUCCGCGAUUUUUGGUGGCCUCAAAUGUGGAAGGAUGUGAAAGAUUUUGUUGUAUCUUGUGACAUUUGUUCAAGAUCCAAAAACCCUCGACAUCGACCUUAUGGACUUCUACAGCCAUUGCCUAUUCCAUGUCGACCAUGGUCUUCGGUUUCCAUGGACUUUAUUACAGAUCUACUACCAUCGAAUUCAUUUGACAGCAUUUUUGUUGUCGUAGAUCGGCUUACAAAGAUGGCGCAUUUUGUCCCUCGCAAGAAGACAUCGUCAAGCGAAGACACAGCAAGACUCUUUCUUGAUAAUGUGUAUGGAUAUCAUGGUCUACCAGAUGAUAUCGUAUCGGAUCGAGGAACCCAGUUUGUGUCAAAGUUUUGGAAAUCUCUUUUUGAAAUAUUGAAGGUGGAUAUCAAGCUUUCUUCGGCAUUUCAUCUUCAAACGGACGGCCAAACAGAAUGGGUGAAUGAAGUUUUAGAGCAAUAUUUACGUUGCACCAUCAACUAUCAACAAGAUGAUUGGGUCGCAUAUCUACCGCUAGUCGAGUUCGCAUAUAACAACACCCUUCAUGCGUCAACUCAACAAACGCCAUUCUUUUCCAAUUAUGGAUACCAUCCAAAGCUUGACUUAUGGAGUUCGUCAACGAUUAACAAUUCGGCAGCUGAAGGAUUGGUGAAGGAGCUUUCGCAGCUUCAAACUACAUUGAAGCUUCAAUUGCAAACUGCCCAAGAAUCUUACAAGGCGUCCGCGGACAAAUUUCGGAAUCAGGUACCUAAAUUCAUGAUUGGAGACAAAGUUUGGCUACUUCGACGAAAUAUUAAGACCAAGCGGCCAUGUGACAAAUUGGACUAUCGGAGAUUGGGACCAUUUGUUAUCCAAAAGCAGAUCAAUCCUGUAGCGUAUCGUCUGGAGUUACUAGCUACUAUGAAGGUACAUCCUGUCUUUCAUGUUUCUUUGUUGGAGCCUUAUCGAGAAUCGUCUUUUCCUAGAAAAGUACAAUGUCCACCACCUAGCAUAGAAAUAGAGAACUACGAAGAAUACGAGGUGGAAAAGGUCCUGGAUUCACGGCAAAGACGGGGUAAAUUAGAAUAUUUUGUGCAUUGGAGCGGUUACGACAUUAAUGAACGAACAUGGGAGCCGGCCGAAAAUCUCGCGAAUGCGCCGCAAAAGGUAUAGGAGUUUCAUCGACGAUAUCCUGAGAAAUCCAAGCCGGUUUGACGAUAGCUUCUUACUGAAGCUUGCUCAUCUAGAAAACAGAAAAGAGGAGAGAGCACUACCAAAAUCCAUAGUUGAUGUAGUCAUUCUCUCGAAGAUAGCGUAGAACUUUGUUAGUAGCCCAAGUUUGUUCUUAUUGUUUUAGCCUUUGAAUAUGGAUAGCCAAGAUACUACACUUGUCAUGUCAUCUCAAGCAACUAGCUCACGAAGACGACCGCGAGAUGAAGAACCACUUGCACCACGACGACGUCAAAGGAUUCUGAGCAACAGAUCACUGGUGAUUGUAUUUGAGGUCGAGCCUGCCUACAAUGGUCAGCCAGAAGGAGUGUUUGCAGGACAAUUUUACAAUGAAGACACGGAGGUUCAUGCUUGGUCAGAAGUUGAAGGCGUGGGCCACUACCGUUGGCUUCAAGGACCAUUGAAUCACUUGCCUCGUGAACAACAAUUGGAGUUCAUAGCAGAGGUUAUGCGAUAGAUCUUCAUUUUCUUGCGUUGGUAUUGACUGACGAUAACAUUGCUUCUCGGAGACCUCGAAGCUAAAGGAGGAGGUGAUCUUAGGGACAUAGUCGUUAGACCUUUUUAGAGACAAGUUUCUAGAACCUUCUAGAAAGAAGUCUCUAAAAACUUCCAGAAGAUUCCUUGAAUAUUCUCUUAGAAUAUUCUUUGAAGCUUCCCUAAAGAUUCCCUUAGAAGGCUCUAGAAGAUUCUUAGAAUAUUUUAGUAGAUUCUAGAAAGUUACUUGAGAAGCUUCCUAGCUCUUGGGUAGUUGCUCGAGAAGCUUCAUAGUUCUUGGGAAGCUUCUUGAUGCGCUUCCUUAGAACCAUAGGCCAGUAGUAUAUAUAGGAAUCGAGGCUGAAGAGUUCUUCAGUCUCGACAACACAUCUCUUGAAGCUCUAGCUCAAUUCUCUUGGCGUUGCUCUUGUACUCAUCUGAUAAUCUAGUUCUUGUCAUUUCUUCUUGAACUUCUUGUUUAGAUUUCUUAUUUGUAUUUUUGGUCCGUGACAGGCAUAUACUAAAGGAUACAUAUGUUCAGAUGAAGUCAAUGUUGUGUUGUAAUACAACUAUAUAAUAAAAGAUAAAAAUACAAGUUCUAUUAUAAAAGAAUAUAGUUAAAAGAUAUAAUAACAAAAUAUGGAUAAACGAUAGAAAGGUAGUAAAAAAUUUUAGUAUUAAUUUUGUUUUUUUGUAAAAUAGCUUCUAUUUAUUUUAUAUAGCAAAAAAUAAGAUAAAAUAAAAUAGAUUAGAAAAAAAAUAAUAUGAGUAUCUUCAAGAAAGUAUAAAGAAUAGCUUGUAGCAAAAAUUACCUUAAAAAAUUAAGAAUUCAUAUUCAAAGAAAAUUGGUUGUAAAUCAAGGUCGAAAUUAGACUCUAAAGUACAAAACUAUGCUUUUAUAACAAUUUUGAGGUUUUUUUGGCAAAUCAAAGAGUAUUAUUAUAUUUCUUAAAUUUUUCUUAAGAAUGCACUAAGCAUCUAGUUGUGAAAGAUAAAAUAGAAUUUACAACAAAAAAAGUCCUAUAAACUCUAAUAGAAACUUAAAAAAACUAAUUAAAUCUAAAUAAUUCUAAUCAAUCUUGAAUCAAAUCCAAAAGAAGUCUUAAAGAAAUUAAAAAAUAAGCACAAAGAUAUUAUAAAUAAACCUUAAAAAAUAUAUUUAUAAUAAAAAAUCCUAAAAAAUAUUAAAAAUAGAAAAUUUAAAUGAAUCCUAAAUCUUAACCAAAUUCAAAAUAAAUCCUUAUAAAAUCCUAAAUCAAUAUUAAAUAAAUUAUAAUAAAAUUCCAACUAAAUUCUGAUUAAAUCCUAAAGAUAUCUUAAAUAAAUUUAAAAAAAUUCAAAUAAAUCUUAAUCACUUUUUAUAGCGAUUUUAAAAUCUAAAUAAAUGCUAAUCAACUAUUGAUCUUAAUUCAAAUUUCACCUAAAUUUUAAACUAUGAGAAAUUAAUAAGUAUAAUUUUUUUUUAAAAAAAAUAAAAUUCACCAAUUAAAAAAAAAAUCUCCUAAAUCUCUCGGAUGUUGGUUGCCUUCUUAUUUCAACCUGGAUAUUGAUCUUUCAGCAGUAAUUUCUUCUUGCUAAACCGUUCAAUUGAUUCAAAAAUUGAUUGAUAUACAUAUUUUUAAUUUUAUAUUAUAUUUAAUAAUUUUUCUUUAAUAAAAUUAAUAUUUUUUUUUAUAAUUUUAAAAACUCUCUUUUGAUCCUUAAUUUCAAAUAUUUGAGACCAUAAUCUAAUAAAACUCAUAUAUCCUUUAAUGUAAUGGUUUGAUUGAUAUCAAAUUUCUUAAAUACAUUAAAGACGAGUAAAAUGACUAAUUUUCAUGAUUUCAUCGAUAAAUGUGCUAUAACACUCAUAUAGUAUUAAAAAUUAUAAACAUCUUUUUAUUUCUCAAAAUCCAAAAUAAUUGAGUAUAAUCCUCACUUUGAAAAGUCCUCAAAAACUCAAUGUCUCCAAAGUAGAUUAAAUCAACUUUUAAAAAAUCUCACUAGUUCAUUUUUAAAUAUUUUUCUUUAAUUAACCAAAAAACCUUAGAAUCACCAUAAAUAUAUAAUUUUGUAUCUUGGGAUUUGAUUUUGAUCUUGAUUCAUAAUUGGUCCUCUUUGAAUAUCAAUUCUUGAUAUUUUAGAAUAAUUUUCGAUAAAAACUAUUCAAUUUUUUUUUAAAGAUGUCUAUAUUAUUUAUUUUCAGAUUUUUUUUUUUUUAUUUUAUCUUAUUUAUAGCCUUAUAAAGUAAGUAGAAGUCUUUUUAUAAGAAAGAAAUAUUAAUACUUAUUAGUUUUCAUUAUCUCCUUAUCUAUUAUUUAUAUUUCUAAAAUAUUUUGCUAAAAUAUUUUUAUUUAAGCUCUUCUAUAAUAUUGUCUUUCCUUCUUCUUUUUACCUAAUAGUUGUAUUACAAUACAACAACAUAAUUUUUAAAAAAACUAAAAUAAGGAUAUUUUAAUAUUAAUAUUUAAUGAUUUUAAUUUGAAAUGAAUUUUUUAAAGGCUUUACAAAGUCAAGGUUGAUUUGGAGUGACUUUGGAUUUUGAAAAAUAUAAAGAAUUUAUACUUUAGAAAAUUUUGUGAGAUUGAUAAAAUAUCUAAAAAAAAGUUUGUAAAUAUAUAAUCAUAGUUGUAUUAUUUGUGUGAUUAAAGUUUGAGCUUAAUCAAAUGAUUUAUUUGAAGGUUAUUAAAACUUAAAAGUAUUAGGUCUUAAAAAUUAGAAUUUAAAAAACUAGUGGAUUUCUAAAUUUUUAGCAAUCCAUCAAUUGAAUUGACACAAAAGUUUGCAAUCUAGUAGUAGACUUGAUUUUAAACAAUAAUAUAAAGAUUGAAAGAAAUUGAGUUUUGAAAUUAAGAGAUAUUUGCACUAAAAGAUUAUUUUUUAAAUUUUAAAAAAGAGGUCAUCUAACAUCCAAGUGGUGUUGUGUUGUAAUACGAUUAUGUGGUGAAAGAUGAUAAUAUGGAUCUUAUUAUAGAAGAGCCAAAUUAAAAGAUAAAGUAAAAAAAUAUGGAUAAAGGAUAGGAAGGUAGUAAAAUUUUUAGUAGUAAUGCUGCCAUUUAGAAAAAGUGGCUUCUACAUACUUUUUAAAGCCAUAAAUAAGGCAAAACAAGGUAGAUUAGAAAAAUAAAAGAUAUAGGCACAUGUAACAGGAAGUUAGGAGUUGGUUUUAGUAGAAUUUACCUCAAAAGGGACAAAAUUUGAUACCCAAUGAAGAAACAUUACCAACCAGGGUCGAAAUCAGAUCUUGAGGCACAAAACCAAGUCUCAAUGAUGAUUUUGGAGUUCUUUUGGAGAUUAGAGAGUAGGAUCUAAGAGUUGACUUGAUGGAAUUUCUUUGAAUAUUGAUUUGGAGUGAUUUGAGUGUGUAUUGACUUUGUAAGAGCUUUGCAAAGUUGAAGGUUUGUUUUGGAUAAUACUAGAUCUAUGAAAUAAAAUGGAUAAUACUUGUAAGUUUGGCAAUAGAUCUAUAGGUGAAAUUUUUUGGGUUUAUGGAUGUAGUUGUGUUAGAUGUGUGUUGUGAAUUUGGAUUUGAUCAAAUAAUAAGAUUAAAAGACAUGAAGGUUUUUGUGGAUUAUAGUCUCAAAAUUUAGGGGUUUGAAGACUAAUAAGGUUUCCUUAGAUAUCUAUAAAUCCGCUAGUUAGAUUGAAGUAAAUAUUUUUUUUAUAGAAGUAGUCAACUUAAUUUUUAAUAAGUGUAUAAAGUUUGAAAGUAAAGUAAUAAUUCAACCAAGUGUAAUUGGCUUUGAGAGAUUGGCAUCAAGGUCAGAAAAGAAGGCCUAUGGACACCCGAGUACAUUUUUGAGGUUAUCAUCUAUUUAGUAAUUUUAAUCUUCUUCAAUUUUUUUUGUGAUUAUUUUCAACUUAAUUUUUAAGAUGUAUACAAAAUUUGAGUUAAAAUAAAUGGUUCAUUCAUUAAUUAUUGAGGUUUAAAUGUACUACAGGAAUUACUUGGAAUUGAUUAGGAUUUAGUUUAGAAUUAGGAUUAGGAUUUUGAAUUGAUUUAAGAUUUGAUUAGAGUUACGAUUUGAUUAAGAUUUUAUUAGAAUUUUUUUGGAUUUUAUUAGGAUUUUUUAAAGAUUUGAUUGGAAUUUGAUUAGGAUUUCAUUAGAAUUUGACUAGAAUUUAUUUAAGAUUUGACUAUGAUUUUAUUAGGAUUUGUUUAGGAUUUUAUUGGAAUUUGAUUAGAAUUUGACUAGGAUUUAUUUAAGAUUUGGUUAGGGCUUAUUUAGGAUUUAUUUAGGAUUUGACUAGGAUUUAUUUAAGAUUUGAUUAAGAUUUGUUUAGGAUUUGAUUAGGAUUUGAUUAGGAUUUGAUUAAGAUUUGACUAGGAUUUGUCUAAGAUUUGUUAGGACUUAUUUAAGGAUUGAUUAAGAAUUAACAAGGACUUGAUUAAGAUUUGAUUAAGGUUUGACUAAAUUUUGACUUAAAUUUAAUUAAGAUUUUUAUUUUUAUUUUUUAUUAAUAUUUCUAUUUUAGUAUAUUUUUUAGAAUUUCUAUAUUAUUUCUUUAAGAUUUCUUUAAAGGAUCUCUAGGAAUACUUUGUGU
rnacentral:lncRNA from 1 species